rnacentral:rRNA from 1 species
AUGAGAUUUCCCAUUCCUUAUGGAAGUAAGACCCCUCAGAGAUGAUGAGGUAGAUAGGAUGGAAGUGGAAGUGCCGUGAGGCAUGGAGCGGACCAUUACUAAUCGGUCGAGGACUUAACCAAGUU